CUUACCUCUCCAAAGGAUUGUGUUGAAAGGAACUCUGUGUGCCAGUUCUGUUGUUUUGUUUUGUUUUUUAUUUUAAAUAAAAGCAGAGGUUGAGUCUACCGUUGCGCAGAGAGUACGUUCAGUUACGCGUUCUGAUCGUUCUGAUUCGUCGCAUGACCGUUUGACUGUAGACUACCAAUUGGAAACGAAGGAUUCUUGACCGCAGACUACCAAUCACACACCGACAUUCAACGCUGAACCUGCCGCUGCGGUCAAUGUAGGUCUCUAUCCUACAGUAUUUCUGUGUGUUUCAGCAUAUAUAAGUGAAGAUGGCAACCCCAGUAAUCCGCAUCGUCAACCCAGAGGCCCCUGCACACCGUCAACAGGCCGUACUGACGGCGACUAAAGAGGCCCGUUGCUGUCGGGAGAAAAAGAUGGUUUUCCCUAAACCUCCACAGGAGCUGCUCUUCCAGGACAGCGCCCUGACACACGCAGAGAAGCUCCUUUGAGCAGACGGCAUCCCUGCACCAUCGCGUCAGCUGUGCCUGGGAAAGCUGCUAGUCCCUUUUGGCCAGUGUGACAAUGCACCCUUCCACUGGCUUGUCACAAUUAUGUGGGAUACAUGAAGUACAUGCUUGACAGGCGCCAGUCAGAGGUCUAAACCACAUCGGAAGGGAGAGGUGGGGAACAGGUGGGUGAAAGACCUCCUCGCUGAAUACGCUGAGAGCUUCCCACAAAUCUCCUGUCACCUCGAAGCCAACAGAAUGUGCACCUGUACAAGUCUGGCUACCACACCUGGGUACACCACAUCUGCGACGUUUCCAGCUGGUACACCAUGCUGGCAGAGGUCCUGUGCUGCAGGCCGUGUACCAAGGCAGGCAGGAGCAAGGAAGGUGUGACAGUGGGUCGCUGGAUUGCGUGGGAUUCCGCUAUUUUAUCACAACUUAGCAAGGCUCACCAAGCUAUGUUCCCUGCCAUCCUCACCAGCAAGUGAGUAUACAAACAUGAAAACGAAGGGCUCUCACCCCUCCAUGCUUGCUGCCACCUUGGAGUAGAAGGAUGCUUGUCUUCAGAGGAA